rnacentral:rRNA from 2 species
CAGAUGAACGCUGGCGGCGUGCCUAAUACAUGCAUGUCGAGCGAACAGAUAAGGAGCUUGCUCCUUUGACGUAGCGGCGGACGGGUGAGUAACACGUGGAUAACCUACCUAUAAGACUGGGAUAACUUCGGGAAACCGGAGCUAAUACCGGAUAAGAUUUUGAACCGCAUGGUUCAAUAGUGAAAGACGGCCUUGCUGUCACUUAUAGAUGGAUCCGCGCCGUAUUAGCUAGUUGGUAAGGUAACGGCUUACCAAGGCAACGAUACGUAGCCGACCUGAGAGGGUGAUCGGCCACACUGGAACUGAGACACGGUCCAGACUCCUACGGGAGGCAGCAGUAGGGAAUCUUCCGCAAUGGGCGAAAGCCUGACGGAGCAACGCCGCGUGAGUGAUGAAGGUCUUCGGAUCGUAAAACUCUGUUAUCAGGGAAGAACAAACGUGUAAGUAACUGUGCACGUCUUGACGGUACCUGAUCAGAAAGCCACGGCUAACUACGUGCCAGCAGCCGCGGUAAUACGUAGGUGGCAAGCGUUAUCCGGAAUUAUUGGGCGUAAAGCGCGCGUAGGCGGUUUUUUAAGUCUGAUGUGAAAGCCCACGGCUCAACCGUGGAGGGUCAUUGGAAACUGGAAAACUUGAGUGCAGAAGAGGAAAGUGGAAUUCCAUGUGUAGCGGUGAAAUGCGCAGAGAUAUGGAGGAACACCAGUGGCGAAGGCGACUUUCUGGUCUGUAACUGACGCUGAUGUGCGAAAGCGUGGGGAUCAAACAGGAUUAGAUACCCUGGUAGUCCACGCCGUAAACGAUGAGUGCUAAGUGUUAGGGGGUUUCCGCCCCUUAGUGCUGCAGCUAACGCAUAAGCACUCCGCCUGGAGACUCGACUUGU